rnacentral:rRNA from 1 species
AUGAAGAGUUUGAUCCUGGCUCAGGAUGAACGCUAGCUACAGGCUUAACACAUGCAAGUCGAGGGGCAGCAUUUCAGUUUGCUUGCAAACUGGAGAUGGCGACCGGCGCACGGGUGAGUAACACGUAUCCAACCUGCCGAUAACUCGGGGAUAGCCUUUCGAAAGAAAGAUUAAUACCCGAUGGCAUAAUUAGACCGCAUGGUCUUAUUAUUAAAGAAUUUCGGUUAUCGAUGGGGAUGCGUUCCAUUAGGCAGUUGGUGAGGUAACGGCUCACCAAACCUUCGAUGGAUAGGGGUUCUGAGAGGAAGGUCCCCCACAUUGGAACUGAGACACGGUCCAAACUCCUACGGGAGGCAGCAGUGAGGAAUAUUGGUCAAUGGACGAGCGUCUGAACCAGCCAAGUAGCGUGAAGGAUGACUGCCCUAUGGGUUGUAAACUUCUUUUAUAUGGGAAUAAAGUUUUCCACGUGUGGAAUUUUGUAUGUACCAUAUGAAUAAGGAUCGGCUAACUCCGUGCCAGCAGCCGCGGUAAUACGGAGGAUCCGAGCGUUAUCCGGAUUUAUUGGGUUUAAAGGGAGCGUAGGUGGACAGUUAAGUCAGUUGUGAAAGUUUGCGGCUCAACCGUAAAAUUGCAGUUGAUACUGGCUGUCUUGAGUACAGUAGAGGUGGGCGGAAUUCGUGGUGUAGCGGUGAAAUGCUUAGAUAUCACGAAGAACUCCGAUUGCGAAGGCAGCUCACUGGACUGCAACUGACACUGAUGCUCGAAAGUGUGGGUAUCAAACAGGAUUAGAUACCCUGGUAGUCCACACAGUAAACGAUGAAUACUCGCUGUUUGCGAUAUACAGUAAGCGGCCAAGCGAAAGCAUUAAGUAUUCCACCUGGGGAGUACGCCGGCAACGGUGAAACUCAAAGGAAUUGACGGGGGCCCGCACAAGCGGAGGAACAUGUGGUUUAAUUCGAUGAUACGCGAGGAACCUUACCCGGGCUUAAAUUGCAUUUGAAUAAUCUGGAAACAGGUUAGCCGCAAGGCAAAUGUGAAGGUGCUGCAUGGUUGUCGUCAGCUCGUGCCGUGAGGUGUCGGCUUAAGUGCCAUAACGAGCGCAACCCUUAUCUUUAGUUACUAACAGGUCAUGCUGAGGACUCUAGAGAGACUGCCGUCGUAAGAUGUGAGGAAGGUGGGGAUGACGUCAAAUCAGCACGGCCCUUACGUCCGGGGCUACACACGUGUUACAAUGGGGGGUACAGAAGGCAGCUACCUGGUGACAGGAUGCUAAUCCCAAAAGCCUCUCUCAGUUCGGAUCGAAGUCUGCAACCCGACUUCGUGAAGCUGGAUUCGCUAGUAAUCGCGCAUCAGCCAUGGCGCGGUGAAUACGUUCCCGGGCCUUGUACACACCGCCCGUCAAGCCAUGAAAGCCGGGGGUACCUGAAGUACGUAACCGCAAGGAGCGUCCUAGGGUAAAACUGGUAAUUGGGGCUAAGUCGUAACAAGGUAGCCGUACCGGAAGGUGCGGCUGGAACACCUCCUU